rnacentral:rRNA from 1 species
UACGGAGGGUGCAAGCGUUAUCCGGAUUCAUUGGGCGUAAAGGGUGCGUAGGUGGCGGGGUAAGUCAGGUGUGAAAUCUCGGGGCUCAACCCCGAAACUGCACUUGAUACUGCCUUGCUCGAGUACUGGAGAGGAGAUUGGAAUUUACGGUGUAGCAGUGAAAUGCGUAGAUAUCGUAAGGAAGACCAGUGGCGAAGGCGAAUCUCUGGACAGUUACUGACACUGAGCACGAAGGCCAGGGGAGCAAACGGG